rnacentral:rRNA from 1 species
UACGUAGGGUGCGAGCGUUGUCCGGAAUUUAUUGGGCGUAAAGGGCUCGUAGGCGGUUUGUCGCGUCGGGAGUGAAAUCCACUGGCUUAACUGGUGGCUUGCUUUCGAUACGGGCAGACUGGAGGUAUGCAGGGGGAGAACGGAAUUCCUGGUGUAGCGGUGAAAAUGCGCAGAUAUCAGGAAGAACACCGGUGGCGAAGGCGGCUCUCUGGGCCUUACCUGACGCUGAGGAGCGAAAGCGUGGGUAGCGAACAGG